GGGGAUGAAGCUCAAUGGUAGAGCACUUGCCUAGCAUGCUUGAAGCCCUAGGUUUGAUCCCCAGCACUGCUA
rnacentral:tRNA from 1 species